AUUGAACGCUGGCGGCAUGCUUUACACAUGCAAGUCGGACGGCAGCGCGGGCUUCGGCCUGGCGGCGAGUGGCGAACAGGUGAGUAAUGCAUCGGAACGUGCCCAGUAGUGGGGGAUAGCCCGGCGAAAGCCGGAUUAAUACCGCAUACGACCUGAGGGUGAAAGCGGGGGACCGAAAGGCCUCGCGCUAUUGGAGCGGCCGAUGUCGGAUUAGCUAGUUGGUGGGGUAAAGGCUUACCAAGGCGACGAUCCGUAGCUGGUCUGAGAGGACGACCAGCCACACUGGGACUGAGACACGGCCCAGACUCCUACGGGAGGCAGCAGUGGGGAAUUUUGGACAAUGGGGGCAACCCUGAUCCAGCCAUGCCGCGUGCGGGAAGAAGGCCUUCGGGUUGUAAACCGCUUUUGUUCGGGAAGAAAUCCUCUGGGCUAAUACCCCGGGGGGAUGACGGUACCGGAAGAAUAAGCACCGGCUAACUACGUG
rnacentral:rRNA from 1 species